CAUCUGGGUGCUUCGCCAUCCGCUGCACCAUCCGGGCGAUCCAGGCGUUGGCUUAACUACUACCACAAGGUUCUACAAAACAUAAUCAAACUUGCACAAGCGCAGUUACUGCUUACAACAAUAUGCAUAAUAUAAUUGAAUCCUACUCGAUUUGUUCAACAUUAACAAUUUUGACCAUCACUUAUUACACUCUCCAACAUGGCACAUCACACCUUUGUGCCAGUGCAGGCAUCGCAGGGGCUGCCUGCUGCUCAUUUGUGACCCACACCCAUCUUGUAGUGAUGAUAAAAGAAGAAGUACCUCACAAACCAGUCUCCAGCUUGGUCUGACAGGUAAGUAGGCACUUACAGACUGGAUAACUGGGUGCAUUCCCUCAUAUUUCAAGCACAGGAGCAGGGGGGAGGAAAGGCAGGCAGCACCUCUCUCUGGGCUGUGCUCAGACAAGUAGGUUGAGCACCACUGAGGCCCCACCUGGAGCCCUGAGGACUGUGCAGGGUGAGCUCUAGGUGCUUUGUGUUUCUCUGAAAUCCUGACUAUGGUGCUGGUGAGCAAAGGAGUCAAAACACAUUGUCCAGUUAUCUGUUAAACCUGGCUUUUUCUUCCUGUAUGGAAGCAUGCUGCUCCCAGAGCUUGAGUACCUUCCAAAAGGCAAAAGCCAUGCAGAUCCAUAUGUAGCUUGGUUUUUGACUUGGUGCACGGGUACACUUUGUUCUGUUGGAUUUGCAUGUUUAAGUACACUUGAAUAAAGCAACUCACUAAAAAAAUUCCUUUACUUUUGAAAAUUUGUUUAGCAGUGAUUACAUUUUUUUCUGAGACUGUUUUUCCCACAUUACUGAUAUUGGAUGGACCACAGCAACUUAUUCUGUAUGUUCUAGGAGAAGGAGGGAAUGUAGUAUUGUCACAGUUCAUGAGCAACACACACAACAUUAUUCCAGCAGGAGUCUGCCAAGUUUAAAAAAAUAUAUCAGGCAGAUAUUUAUUUAUUUUUGUCAGUCAUCUCUGGCAAAACCAUGUAAACUCAGAUGCCCUGUGAACUGUUUCUUUGGUUUACUAUGAGAGAUGCACUUCGUUAGAGAAAACAGAAUAAUCCACUCUUUUUUUUCUUUCUUUUUUUUUUUUUUUUUUUUAAAUAAUAUUAGGUUUUUGACAGAGAAUUUAUUUGGUUUCCAAUAGAUAGUUAUUUAUUUGCUACUAACUAGCUUUCCUGCAUUCCCUGGAGAAAGCUCCAUUAAAACUCUUAAUGUGACACCACAUAUUUUUACUAGACUAGAAAAUAGUUACAAUUUUAAUUUAAAUUGAAAUGACUGUGUAAUGCCUGGACAAAUCAUUCUCAGAUCCCUGGAGCUCUUAAUUGUAAUUCUCCGUUGUUUCUACGCAUAAAUUUUCUUUUCAAGUGCUCAUUCUGAAAUACUGUUUUUUUUUUUUUUUAUGUUCUGUACUAAUUUAAUAGUUUUUUAUGGUUAACAAUUCCAUGAUUAAACUUUUAUGUUAAAUAUAAAUGGUGGAAACAAUAAGCUUAUUCAAGUGCUGGGAAAAUAAAGUGUUUAUAUUUUGAGAUUAACUCAAAGAACUUCUUUUUGCAGAAGGAAAGGGAAGAAAAAUGUCUUACUGAAAGUAAUGGGAAAAUUACAUUGUAUUUCCAUGGCAGAAGAGCAAUAACCGUGCUCUAACAAGCGUCUCUUCUUCAGCCUUUCUUACUGCCUUGAGUCAUCAUGACAUAAAAUAAAGUUUUACCCAAUAGCUCCCAGAAAAGUAAUCAAGGUAGUUCUUCUCAUGCAUCACCCAUGUUCUGAUUCAAUUUGGGCUGCCCCAAGGAUGGGGAGGAAGGACCAAGGCGCAUCACCUGCUUCCUGGGAGACGGUGUCCAUCCCAGCCUGAGAGCCCCAAGGGAAGGUGUCUGCACCUGCUUCACACUGGGUUACCUUGGUUUUCAAAGUCCACCUGAGACAGAUACACCUGCAAAUCCCUGUCCUCAGCACUAGCUCUUGGGGUUUGAGGAAUGCAAAUUGCUGUCUUCAAUGGACCGUCAGCUUCAACAGCAAGAUGAGGGUGAACCUUCAGAUCAUCAGAAGGCAUCACAAUCUAAAGGAACCUUCAGCUAUUGGGGAAAGGAGGAAGUAAUGGAAAACAUUCAGCAUUGCUUCAGUAGUCAUUUCCAGGGUUUGGGCUUCACAGGUGAGCUGGGAAAACAUAAGCAAGUUGGUGGAUAUGUUGGUCUUCAGUGCUAGCAAGGGGAAAAUUAGGUAAGAUAAAGCAAAGCGCCCAAAUGGGGAAGAAUAAAGUGUCUGCUUGCUGUUGGUAGUAACAACCUUAUUUUGAAAUGUGGAAAUCUGCAGUCAAAUCUCCCAAACUCUCUCAGUAUCACUGUGUAGUGAUACUUCACAGCCUCCUAAUGCAAAUGUUGAGGGUAAUACAGGUUUUCUCUUAAUUAAAAGCUCAGCAGUUAGAAACUCAUCUAUUUUUAAUUAAUUGUGUAGUAAUAGAUUUUCAGUUUUGUUUAACUUGUGGUAUAAAAAAGAGAUUUAAUGUUAGGAUCUAGGCUGCUUAGAUAAAAUCCUGUUCAGUGCAUACCUAUUUAAUAAAACCGUAAAGCAAAAAGCAACAGAAUGACACUAUACAGAUUAACUCAUUUUUAGAGAAACAGUACCAUGAAAGGUGGCUGCUGGGUGUGCACAGAAAAGAAAGGCAGGGAGGAGAGUCCUGACCCAUUGUGGUGUGGGAGUCAGAUGACUGACAUCAGAUGUGGACCCCACAAAGGGCAGCAGCAUGUGCAGCAGGGACAACUCUUCUGUCCCCUUGUAGAAGCUUGUGCCAGACAGGUGAUUUUGGAGGGCUCCCACCUUGCUUGGGGGAUGAAGGGCAUUUUAGGAAAGGAGGAAGGAGAACAGGGUGCCCUGCAGCUGGAGCAGGCUCCUGCUUUUCUGCAUGACCAUCUGCUCUCCCCCAUUGUAGGUACCGGCUCAGGAGAAGAAGGCUUGUGCUGCUGUGGGGGAAGUUGGGCUGGUGUGGGUCCCCAGGGCUGGGGAGAAGGGGUGCUGCUGGUGGAGGAGCUGCCCCUGGGGCACAGCACCAGGAAGGGGCUGGCAGCCCCUCCAGCAGUGGUGAGUGCUUUUAGCUAAACAUCUCAAGCAUGGUCUGGUGGGUGCUCAGCACCUGCUCGUGUAAAUCACAUGGGGUGUCUGGGCAUGUACAUUGGCUACAGGUCAAAGUAGCUGCAGAUGCACACAAUGUGCAGAGUGGGCAAUUUCAGAAUCCCCAGACCCAGAAUCCUUGGCCCCUAAUGCUGUGAGCCCCAGGCUGCCCAGCCAUGUGGAUGCGCGGGCUGCAAGCGGUGAAGCUGUUGACAGUGAAUGCGAGGAUGUGAUUAUUAACACUGAUCUCACACACAACCCUGCUGAGUCUGGGGAUGGUGGCAGUGGCAGGGGACAUUGCCUGCAUGCUGGUUGCUCACGCUCUGGUGGAGUGGGUGGUCAAGUGACAUGAAAAGCAGCCAUGAGCUGGUUUGCAGGUCACUGGGCUCCUCUGGAGCUGGUACUUGAUCCUGGGCAGGGGUUUUCCCUGUGCUCUUACACAGACCAAGCCUGGGACAAGAGCAGCUCCGUGCAGCUGAUGUGAGUGCUUGGUUUGCUGGCCCAUCCCCAUGGCAAGCUAGCCAGGAGCCACUGCAGAUCAUUCUGUGUGGAAGCAGAACAUGAGUCUUCCUGACUUUGUAUUCAGGGUCAGGGAGAUGUUCUGUUCAACCUGAAGCAAAAUGCAUAUCUUGACUUACAGACAGAUGUCCCCCCCAGAAAGGAGCUGACACAGUAGCAAGGGGAGAGAAAUCAUUUAAAUAUACCUACAGUGGAUGAUUAAAAAAAAAAAAAAAAAAAGAAAAAGAAAAUCCAACCACCCUAACAUUUAAAAGAAACCUCCCUCUGCAACAGAGCACCUUGCAGACCUGUGUUGGCUCUGGAGACGGCUGUUACCUCCAUGAAGGAUGGAGGGGCUGACAUGUCAAGGGAAGCCAGAGAUGGCACCUCAGUUGCCCAGGUUGCUUUCAAGUUGCGUAUACCUCUGUGUGCGGCUUUUUGCCAUGUGCUGUAACUUCUCAAUUUUGACCUGCUUUUAAGCAGUAUAAUCAACUUUUCUUCCUUUUUUUUUUUUUUCUAUUAUUUUUCUGCAACAAGUUUGCAAACUCAAGGAUCUUUUGGGUAUCCCUAUCCACUUAUGUUGCUGAGUUGGACGUCUCACUAAAAAUGAGGUGGCUAAGGCUCAGGAGUUGUAAAUCAUUACUUAGUGGGAGAAUUUGUAGGUAAAAUCAUAAUAAAGUGAUUGUCAUCUUUCUUGGACAUCAGACACUAGUCACAGCCUGAUGCACUGAAUGAACCUGUAUGGCUGCUCUUAUUUUCUUCCUUUGCUGGGAGAAGUUAUUCUAACUAUGUGUAUGGUUUCCUUCAGGAAUGGUGUUAGAGAUAAAACUUCUUUCUUUUGAAAAAGACAAACUCAAGAGCUUUUACAGCCCUGCAACACCCUGCCCCCCCCCUCGCUGAGUGUAACUAAAGUGGCCAGGGAGUUUUUGGUUUAUCAAAUGGAAUUGAUUAAAAUUGAUACCAAGGAUUGCUUAAGGUAAAUUAAUCGAGUUGAUUAGGUAGGGCUCAGGUGGUCAUGGGCAGGUCAUGAUGAUCUCUAGGUUGCUGCUGGCAUGCCAAGGUUUAUUAAAAUGAUAAAGUUACAAAGGAGAAAGAUCCUGCUUACUAUGCACAGAACAGAAAGGAAAAAAAGGUUAAUCAACCAAUCAUAAACAUAUAAAUGAGCACAAGCUCAUCUUGAAAAGCAAUUGCUUUUCUGGGCAUAUUCAUUCAACAAUGGUAGGCUAUGCUUUUGAAUCAUGUCUCUAGCAGAGACACAAUUAGCACCAAGAUGGCCUCUUUAUGUCCUACCAAAUGUAAACAAAAUAAAAAAAUUCCCUUUCAAAUACAUCCUGUUCAGUGAUUUUCAUAUAUUAAUACAUUUUACAUUAAUUUAAUAACAGAAUAUAUCUUUAAGGAUAUGCCUGGUAAAUAAUUAGUAAAACUCAAUUUAACAGCAGUGUGACAAACCUUUCCCCCAAAGGAUGCCGAGCAGUAUGUUGUAUUUUCUGCAACAAGCAAUCUGAAUAUUGCUGUGGAUGCAACCUCUCUAAGCUUAUUGUUGAGCCUCCUGUAGAAAGGACCCAACCAGGAUGUUAUCACAUUUGAAGCUAUGACAGAUUUACAUUUUCCGUAGGGUUUUGCACUUUCAACAAGAGAAUAAUGGCAUCUCCACAUGUUCUGUCCCUUCCUGACCAGAGUUGCCUCGAAAGUGUGAAAGAUGUCUGUCUGUCAUGGCCUCCACCCCACUGAGCAGGACCCAGGGAAGUUUGAAGCUAGAUAUUUCCCUGAGAACCUGGGGACCACCAUGGUGUGUGAGGAAAUAAAGGAUCACCACAUGCAACUCCCUCUUCUCCAUGAGACCUCCACACCUCUGUUGGCUAUGGUUCUCCUGAACGCAUAUCUGUCACCAGUGACUCUUUUCUAACACGUCCCAGCAGCCCAUGGCUUGUGAUUCUUCUGAGACAAAGGGUGCAGCACCAGGCAGCAGCAUCCCAUGGUCUCACUUGGGCAGCGGGUGAGAGCCCCAGGGGCUGAGAUCAGGUCCUGGGCUACAGUGAAGGUUUGGGGCGGGCUUUACGGGGGGCCACUCAGAGCUGCUCAUGUUCUCAGGGCCCUGACACUGAGCCCUUCUGUGAGCAGGACCACAUGUGCCUGAGAUUCCCUGAGCUUUUCUCCUUUCUGUAUUACAACUUGCUUUUAUCUCUCCUUCCAUUUGAGUGUUCCCUGUCGGAGGCAUCUUGAUCCUGGUGCUGCAGGAAGCCCUCUCCAGCAUGGACCACAGCGCAAACCUUUCCAGUUUCGCCACACAUCUCACUCUUUGCACAGAGCCAGGCAGCUUCUAUGAUUCCAUUUCCCUCCCACACAUUGGUUGGAGGCUACUGGGACAGGACUGAAAAAUCUCACAGAGGCCAAAAGAGCAGAAGUUGCAGUUUUUCUCCAUGUAAAUGCUUUGCAAUAGUGUCUUGCUUCUGAGAGUUAUAUCUGUGCCAGAAUCCAAAAGAUAAUGCAAAUUCUACAUCCUCUGCAAACUCUUCUCCUGAACCAUAAUUUUUAUUUAUUUUUUUCAAUGUUUCUCUGUUCCUUUGAUGUGCACUAGGGGCUGGGAUGGGCUUCUCUUGGACUGCUUCCGAAAGACCAGUCCUCUUAGCAUUUCCUGGCACCUGGAACUGUCCAUAGUUUUAGCUCUGAAGCACACCAAGCAGAGAGGAUUUGAUCCAGGUACAUGGAUGGAGACCCCAGCCACAGUCUGUUUGGGAGGGACCACUUCUGCAGACAUGUCAGCUGUUGGAAACACGAAAACGUAGGAAUAUUCUGAGUGUAAAGGGUUGAAAAAUGAUGAAGCUGCCUGUUUCACACCCUGCUCAUGGUACACACACAGCAGAAGAGGAGAUCUGGUUUCUGCUGUAUUUCCUGGUUGGUCAGAGCUUCUCAACAUCCCCAGCCUUGGCUCCUGCAGAUGAUGGCACCAGAACCUCCUGUCCCUGCCUGAGUCCUUCCCAGGGAACUGAGCUGGCUAAGCUGCUGUUCAGCACUGAUCGAGGAGAGAGCACAUAUACAUGUACUUUACAUCGCAACAGGCCCAGGGACAAGGCGCUGACAAUAUACGCUCCAUACAGGAGAACAUGUAGUUGUGUGCUUAGCGUGUGUUUUUCUGAGUGUGGAAAUCGACCUUCUGAUCCCAUCCUUAAAGUGUUGCCUGUCAGUCUGUCUAGAUGUCAACUGGCUUGACAAACUGGUGGAGAGGAACCACGUGAAGUUCAACAAAGGGAAAUGCCAAAUACUGACCCUGGGGACAAACAAUUCCAGACACCAGCAUAUGCUGUGGACCACCCAGGUAGAAAGUGGCUUGGAAGAAAUAGCCCUGUGAGUCCUGGUGGACACCAAGCUGACUGUGAGCCAGCAAAGAAGGCGAUGGCAUCCUGGGCAAAGUGCCUCUAGAAGGUCAAGGGAAGUAAGCCUUCCUCUCUGCUCAGUGCUGGUGACACAUGUCUGGAGUGGUAUGUCCAGCACUGGGCCUCCCAAAACUAUGGUGGUGAUGAAGUGACUGGAGCAUCUCUCCUAUGAGUACAGGCUGAGAGACAUGGGACUGCUCAGCCUGGGGAAGAGGAAGCCCAGCUGGAUCUUAUCCAUGUGAAUAAAUACCUGGUGAGAAGAAUGAACAUGAGGGAGCCAGGUUGUCUUCAGUGGUGCCCAGUGAUAGGACCAGAGGCAACAGGCAUACACAGAAAUAUGUGAAGUUUCCUCUGGAGAUCAACAAGCACUUUGUCACUGUGAGGGUGACUGAGCAGCAGUCCAGGGAGGUCGUGGGGUCCUCCUUGGAGAUGUCCAAAACCCAAACGGACACCACUGCUAGGUGACCCUGCUUGAGCCAGGGGGUUUGGCUGUGUGAUCUCCACGAGUUCCCCCCAACAUCCAGCAUUCUGAGAUCUGAGUCUGAGACCAGAGAUUUUCACAGAAAGAGUAAUUAAAGGAAACUUUUACCUUCUGCUACAAUAAAGGCCAUAACAUGACUGGGUUUUCUAAGGAAGUUGAUAAACCUUGAUCCAGACAGGAAUGAGGCAGCUGCUGGGUAACUGAGAGUGCUGUCAGAAAGCAUACGUAUACAAUACUUGGUAGCUCUAUGAAAACAAUGUUUUUCCGCAAAACCAAAUUAUUGCCAAGUAUUAUGAAAGACUUGAAAAUCUGGAACAGAAACCAGGAGCUGCUCAAUGUCUUGUGUUCCUGGGCAUGCACGUAUUUGUGCAAGAAAAAAUGGGACUGUUGACACACGUUGUGUUUUGUUAUUCUAGCUAUUACUUGGAAGCUGUUCAAACAUUUUCAGUGAGGUCUGGAUGGGAAUUUGUUUCCAUCCCAUGGUUAAGCUUGUUGAAGCAGGAGUGCUCCUUUCUGUCAUGAUGCCAUGAGCACAUUUGCUUUUCUGUCCUCAUUCUGCUGCAUGUUUGCUAUUUCAGUAAGAUGUAGUGAGACUGAACAGUGGAUUCAUAUUAAGCAGUGAGGUUUUUUUUUCUAAAAGUGUUUUAUACAUACUCAGAGAAUAAAUUAUUCGUCUACUCUGACACGGACAAUCCUGUGCCAGGAGAAGUACACUUCAGUCAAUAUCAUUACCACAUGCAGCUGCUAAAAUAUUUCAAAAAAAAAAGACCCAAACCAACUCAUAGAGGAGGCUCCCGUUCAGGAUGGCACCCUCCAGGUGUAGAGGAGAUAUCAAGUCUGCAUUCGUCUGUGGCUGUGGCCGUAUAUAAAGAAAUCCAUAGUUGUUACCCAGUCAGCAGCUCCCAUGAAAAUAGUACAUAAUAGAUUUAAGAGCAGUUAAACUAGAUUUGGGAGGCUGUGUAGAACUUGUAAGCUUGUGACAAGUCACCAUGCCUGCAGAAAGGUGGGGAUGGUUGAUCAGAAUGUUGGUCAAGUGUUAAGCCUGGAAUCUGAAUCCCUGUCAACACCAACAAGAAUUUCUUAUACAUGGUCAGUGAUUAAAUGAAUUUGGUUCUAAAGGAACUGAAAGAGCAAAAAAAAAGCUCACACCAAAUAAACCAAAUCUGCACAAUGUUGUGAAGAGAGAUGUCCUUGGCGUUUUAAAACUGUUCUAGAAGAGGGAUAUAAUUAUCUGGUAAAAGCUAUUGGUUAUAAUUUUCUAUUAGUUGUAUAGGACACUUCCAUUAUGGAAGGUCACUUUUCUCCAGCUACUAUAUUGCAUUUUGUACAACAAAGUACUCAUAGGAUGUGACAUUUGGUGUUCUGCAAAAUAAAUUACAAUUCUUGUGCUGUGAGAGCAGCUAAAAAUAGGCAAGAGAGAGCAGACGAUUCUCUUGCAGCAUAUGCCAUUUUUAAAUGCAGGCAAAGAUCCCGGCUUUAUGGGGUGGAAGUCUGAACACUCAUGUGUACAGCCAGGGCUUUCUUACUUGCUGAUGUGUGCUUUCAUCUUGUGAGGAUGUCAUGGUUCCGUGUUAAUAAAUACCAGUUUCCAUGCCUUGUA